CACGUAGGGUGCGAGCGUUGUCCGGAAUUAUUGGGCGUAAAGAGCUCGUAGGCGGUGUGUCGCGUCGGCCGUGAAAACCUGCAGCUUAACUGUGGGCUUGCGGUCGAUACGGGCAUCACUGGAGUUCGGCAGGGGAGACUGGAAUUCCUGGUGUAGCGGUGAAAUGCGCAGAUAUCAGGAGGGAACACCGGUGGGCCGAAGGCGGGUCUC
rnacentral:rRNA from 1 species